GGACUGGGAGCUGUUUGGGCUUGGUUUGGAAGCAAAGCAGAGAUUUGUCUACUCAUGUACUCAAGAGUUUAUUUUGUGCAAACCUGUGAGGUGGUGAUGGGCCUAGACUUCAUAAGCUGUGUAUUUGGGGAGUGCAGCACAUGAGGAGAGCAGCACUGACUGACUGAGAGCAGAUGAUGCUGUUGCAGAGAGGCUGCUCUGGAGAACACACAGUAAUGUUUUGUUCCUGAAAAACUGAUGGAAGAUGUUGAAGAAAUGAUGAUUUUACAAAGAAGAAGAAAAGGGGGAUGGGGUGUGAAGGCAGGGAAAAGAAAAGACACCUUUCUUGAAAUUCUAGAGAUGAUGCCACUGCCACUAUGGGACCAUAGCACAGCAAAUGUGUAAAGAGCAAUUUCUUUAUUCCCAAGACUCUUGGCAUCUCUUUUCCUUUAACUACAUCAACCUGAGCAGAGCAGGUGGGGGUAUGGGUUGGCUUCCCAUGCUUUGAUGGAUGAAGACUGAAGGAAACAUCAUCAAAGGCUCCACACAUUUUCAGGUACCCCAGUGAGAUGAGGAGCUGUGGAAUAAAGCUUUGUUGUGCUGUGCAGUGAAGAGGAGCUCCACAGGGUGCUUCAGGGUUCUGAAUGCUUUCUUGCCUCCUUCUUCAGGCGCAGGAAAGGAGUCUUUCCUUCAGUGUUACUCGGGCCAGAUCCAUACAGACCUGGCACCAGCCUGAUGAGGCACCAGCAGUGCCAGGACAUGCUGCAGCUUUCUCCAGCAUCAGAACUGCGUCAAGGCCCCAUUUUUCUUGUCUUGGCUGCAUCGUGUAUUGGGCUAAGCCUGGUAAGAAUGAAACAUUGUUUACAGAGUUUACAGAAUGUCCUGAUUUGGAAGGAACCCACAAGAAUCAUCAAGCUCCUGUGUGAAUGGCCCAUACAGGAUUGAAUCUAUGACCUUGGCAUUGUCGGUGCCAUACUCUAAUUUGUCUUCCCCUUAGGAAUCUUCUAGCUCUAAGAAAAGCAGGUUUGUUCAGAAGAAGCAAUUGAACUAGCGGCUUUAUACAGAAACCUUGGAUUGUCAGGGCUUGGGAGGUUUGGAGUGUAAGCUGUGAAGAAUGUGGGC
rnacentral:lncRNA from 1 species